UCUGGUGGCUAUCGUGCCGCCACAACCGAGCACCACAACCUGCCAAACCCCAAUUUUCUCUCUCAAUGCCUUCUUUCUAUUUUUUCCUAUUCCAAGUUGGACCCGUUUUCUCUAUCGCAAGUCCCUUACCUUCUUGCGAUCCUCUGACUAAGAACGCUGCUAGCGAGGUAACUAGGGUUGCUGCCCCUUUUUCCUCGGAC
rnacentral:lncRNA from 1 species